AUGGAAACAGAGAUUUUGAGAGAGAUUUUCCUAGUGAGUAUCCUAUCUCAUUUUCCUCUUUUCCAUGAAUCUGUUACCGCUUUUAUGUUAUGUAAGUUGGAGUCGGUUAUCAUCUCCAUGAAUCUGAGCCAUUGCGUUUUCAGUUUGUUAUGGAAGGGCAUGAUUGAUUCAGAUGAAAGUUAA